CAACUACUCCCUCUGUCCCAAAUUUCUUGUCUUAGAUUUGUCUAGAUACGGAUGUAUCUAAUACUAAAAUGUGACUUGAUACAUCCAUAUCUAGACAAAUCUAAGACAAGAAUUUUGGGACGGAGGGUGUACUUU
rnacentral:pre_miRNA from 1 species